CCAGACUCCUACGGGAGGCAGCAGUGGGGGAUAUUGCACAAUGGGGGGAACCCUGAUGCAGCGACGCCGCGUGGGUGAAGGAGUGCUUCGGCAUGUAAAGCCCUAUCGGCAGGGAAGAAGCAAGACGGUACCUGACUAAGAAGCCCCGGCUAACUACGUGCCAGCAGCCGCGGUAAUACGUAGGGGGCGAGCGUUAUCCGGAUUCACUGGGUGUAAAGGGAGCGUAGACGGCCAUGCAAGCCAGGGGUGAAAGCCCGGGGCCCAACCCCGGGACUGCCCUUGGAACUGCAUGGCUGGAGUGCGGGAGGGGCAGGCGGAAUUCCUGGUGUAGCGGUGAAAUGCGUAGAUAUACGGAGGAACACCAGUGGCGAAGGCGGCCUGCUGGACAUUAACUGACGCUGAGGCGCGAAAGCGUGGGGAGCAAACAGGAUUAGAUACCCUCGUA
rnacentral:rRNA from 1 species